AUGACUCACUGUAGCCUCAACCUCCUAGGCUCAAGCAGUCCUCCCACCUUGGCUUCUGGAAGCAGCUGGGACUACAGACAUGAGCCACCACACCCAGAUGGAGUAUCUCUCUGUCACCCGGGCUGGAGUGCAAUCAUGGAUCUCGACUCAUUGCAACCUCCGCCUACCAGGCUCAAGCGAUUCUCCUGCCUCAGCCUCCUGAAUAGCUGGGAUUACAGGUGCCCACCACUACGCCUGGCUGAUUUUUGUAUCCUGCUGGGUUUUAAACUUGCCUGGGGCCUGUACCCCCUUUCUUUCGGCCAAUUACUGCUUUUGGAAUGGGAAUGUUUACCCAAUUCCUGUACUCCCAUUGUAUCUUGGAAGUAAAUAACUUAUUUUGAUUUUAUAGCUCAUACAUAGAAGGAGAUAAGUCUCAGAUGAAACUUUGGACUUACACUUAAGACUUUCGAAUUAAUGCUAGAAUGAGUUAAGACUUUAGGGGAUUAUUGUUUUGGGAAGGUGUAACUGUAUUUUGCAAUGUGAGAAAGACAUGAAAUUUGGAGGAGCAGGAAUGGAAGGAUAUAGUUUGAAUAUUUGUCCCCACUUAAAUCGCAUGUUAAAUUGUAAUCCCCAGUUUUGGAGGUGGGGCCUGGUGGGAGAUGAUUGGAUUGUGGGAGUGGAUCCUUCCGGGUUUAGUGCUAUCUGUGCAAUAGUGAGUGAAUUCUCACAAGAUCUGGUUAUUUAAAAAUGUGUGGUGCCUCCCCUUACUCGCUCCUGCUCCCAUCAUGUGAAAUGCCUGCUCCCCAUUCACCUUCCACUAUGACUGUAAACUUCCAGAGGCCUCUUAUCAUGAGCUUAUUACACCUCUUAUUAUAUAUUAUCCCAUCUCAGGUAUUUCUUUAUAGAAAUGCAAGAAUGGACAAAUACACAUCUGUUUUUGUGGUGUUUUACUACAAAAAACAAUGCAACAAGUAAUAUCUUUAAACAUAUAUCUUUAUAAUAGAAUGAUUUCUAUUCCUUUGGGUAUAUACCCAGUAAUGGGAUUGCUUGGUUGAAUGGUAUUUCUGUCCUUAGGUCUUUGAGAAAUCACCACACUAUCUUCCACAUUAACUAAACUAAUUUACACUUCCACCAACAGAGUAUAAGUGUUCUUUUGCACACAUAUGUUCAUUGCAGCACUAUUCACAAUAGCAAAGACAUGGAAUCAACAUAAAUGCCCAUCAAUGAUAGACUGGAUAAAGGAAAGGCGGUAUAUAGGCACCAGGGAAUACUAUACAGCCAUAAAAAAGAAUGAGAUCAUGUUCUUUGCAGGGACAUGGAUGUAGCUGGAGGCCAUUUUCCAUAGAAAACAAACACGGGAACAGGAAACCAAAUACCACAUGUUCUCACUCAUAAGUGGGAGCAAAAUGAUGAGAACAUAUGGACACAUAGAGAGAACAGCACAAAUUGGGGCCUAUUGGAGGCCAGAGGGUGGGAGAAAGGAGACGAUCAGGAAAAAUGAUCGUUUAAUACCUGGGUGAUGAAAUAAUCUGUACAACAAACCCCCAUGACAUAAGUUUACCUAUGUAACAAACCUGCACUUGUACCACUAAACUUAAAAUAAGUUUAAAAAAAAAAAAUGUCUCUUCAUGUAAGAGUGAGCACUUGUUUUCUUGAUCCAAUACGUUCAAUACCUAAUUUGUAAUCUAUGUUAAUCUGAUCAAAGAAAAUUGGCACUUCAUUAAAAAUUUUAUAUUGUAAUUGCCUAAUUACAAGUAGGUUCAGAAUAAUUUUGUAUCUUUACUCACCACUUGUAUUUAUCUACAAACUUCCUGUUCGUAUUCUUCACCAUCUUACUACCAGGCAUUUGGUCUUUUUUACUGAUUUGCUGAAGGAAACAAACUCUUUUCAACAAUUUUUGCAAGUAUGUGUCUCUAUUUGCAGUUUUGAUUUAAAGAAUUUAAUAGUAUUUUCCUAUUUAAUAGUUUUAAUUUACAUGUAGUCAAAUUUAUCUAUAUUUUCUAAUAAAGCUUCUGGGUUUUGUGUCAUGAUUAUGAAGUUUUCAGCUGUAAGGAUUUUUUUUUUUUUAUUUCAACUAUUAUUUUAGCUUGGUGGGAUACAUGUGAAAGUUUGUUACCUGGGUAUAUUGUAUGAUGAUGAGGUUUGGGAUACAAAUGAUCCCAUCACCCAGAUAGUCAUAGUGUUUUCAAAGUAAGCCCUCAUCUUAUUCACAACUAUAGUUCCUUUUUUCCUCCAAUAUUUGGGUUUCAUCUGCAAAUUUAUUUUGAUAUAUGUAGUAAGGGUAGGAUAUCAGGUUUUUUUUUCCCUGACCAAAUUGUCCUCAUCACUUUUGAAUACGCUAUCACUUCCCACUAACUUUGAAUUUCCCUUUUAUAAAAGACUAAAAACUCAUACAUCUAUUUGACUCCAUUUCCGGACUUCAUAGUCUCUUCUACUGAUCUAUCUUGGUAUUCUUCACUGAUACCAAACUGUUUUAUUAUUUUGGAUACAUAAUCUUUUAAUAGCUACUAGGAACUAAACUCUCUAAUUUUUUAAACUCUUUCAAAAUUAUUUUCUUUCUUUAGGAUCUGAUUGGUCACUCACUCAUGUUUAUUACUGUAUUAGUCCAUUUUUACACUGCUGAUAAAGACAUAUACAAGACUGGGCAAUUUACAAAAGAAAGAGAUUUAUUGAACUUAGAGUUCCACAUGGCUGGGGAGGCCUCAUAAUCAUGACAGAAGGUGAAGGGCAUGUCUCACAUGGUAGCAGGCAAGACAAGAGAGCUUGUCCAGGGAACAUCCCCUUUCUAAAACCAUCAGAUCUCGUGAGACUUAUUAACUAUCAUGAGAAUAGCAUGGGAAAGACCUGCCCCCAUGAUUUAAUUACCUCCCACCGGGUCCCUCCCACAACAUGUGGAAAUUCAAGAUGAGAUUUGGGUGGAGACACAGACAAACCAUAUCAAUUACCAAUAUUACUUUUUGUACAUUAUUUUCCACAGAUAUCCCUUGCUUGUGUGAGUAGCUAAAAUUUGAUUUUAAAAAUUCAAUUCAAUUUUGCCUUUGAUUUAUUUUACUAGGUAAAAUUCAGCAUUAUUUUAAACUCUCUCCCCAAAUGUUUCCAUUUAAAAUGGGAUAGAAUCGGACUUCUAGAGUAAGCAAGUUUUUCAUAUUAUACCAUAUCUUUAUAAGAUGUUAUCACUGGGGUUAAAAAAAAAAAACUGGGUAAAAGGUACAUGGGAUCUCUCUGCAUUUUUUUCCUACAGUUGCAUAUGAACCUACAAUUAACUCAAAAUUAAGUUUUCUAUUUAAAAAAACCUAGUACAAUGUCAGAUACAUAGUAGAUGCUCAAUAAGUAUUCCUUUCCUGCUUUAUUCUUUGUCUCCUUUCAACAAAAUUUCUUACAUGUAUUCUUCAGUUUAUGGGUAGGCAUUCAUAAAUAUGUCUGUAAAGUAAAUAGAGUUUAGCUUUGAGCUAAAUUGUAAAAUUGGUGUUAUGCUCCCACAUCUCCAGGAGACUGAUUUGAAAAAUAGCAAUAGCAAUUAAAAGAAUGUGCACUAAAUCAUAAUAACCAACUUCUAGAUCAUGGGAACUUCCCCAGCAGGGUUCUUUUGAUCUUUGCAGGAAUUCUUAUUUUUAAUCUUCUUUCUCACUUUGUAAUUUCUCUACAAACCACCAGCACCCCUUUCACUUCCCAAACUAUUAAGAAAAACACUGCAUAUCUGAAUGCCAUGUAGCUUUUCUUCUAUAUUUUCCAUGACCAGAAAAUCUUCAUGCUUAGCAUUUUCUGGGAAAGACAGAUUACCAACAGGGCUAGUCCCAAGAAAAACUGGGAUGUAAAUAAAACUUGCCUUGAAUCCAAACCUCAUCUUCCUUUCCAAUACCGCUUCCUUCUCAGCUCCCAAGGAGUUGGGGCUGAGGGAGGUUGCCGUUCCUUUGUGCUUCUACAUUUAUUCCUGCCUAAAAAGACUUCAAGUUUUGAGCCGUUUUGCAACUGAUAUUUCUCAUACUGGCCAACAAUAAGUUCAAGUAGAGUACAUUGCACUAGAUAUGAAAAUAUGAAAUGUAAGCUUGUCCAUCUCUGUCUUCUUUGAAUCCCUUCUAACCAUUCUCGGUUCAUUCAAACCAGCUCUUGGACCAUCGUGUUCAACAUGUAUUCCCCCACCUACCAAAGUGUCAAAACUUACUUUUCUUCUGUUUGAAAAUCUUAUUUCCAAAAUUGUGUUUAAUUUUCUUGUCCAAAAUAUUCCAUGUAAGACAUAAAGGCUUUGAGCCAGUAUCAAUGUGAAACCAGCUGCUGGUAGC
rnacentral:lncRNA from 1 species